rnacentral:rRNA from 1 species
ACGUCAAAUCAUCAUGCCCCUUAUGACCUGGGCUACACACGUGCUACAAUGGAUGGUACAAAGGGCAGCGAAGCCGCGAGGCGGAGCGAAUCCCAGAAAACCAUUCUCAGUUCGGAUUGCAGGCUGCAACUCGCCUGCAUGAAGCCGGAAUCGCUAGUAAUCGCGGAUCAGCAUGCCGCGGUGAAUACGUUCCCGGGCCUUGUACACACCGCCCGUCACACCACGAGAGUUUGUAACACCCGAAGUCGGUGAGGUAACCGUAAGGAGCCAGCCGCCGAAGGUGGGACAGAUGAUUGGGG